GUGGGUGAAGGCUGGUGAGGGGCAUUUACUCCGGGGAGGAGGGUGUGACCCAGAGGUGUCUUCUUAGGCGGGGAGGUCUUCCAUAAUAACCUGCUUUCCCGAGAGUUUUACCAGUUUUUAGUGGAGAAGGGCACGUUAUGAAAUAAUAGGAGGCUUUAACUCUGAGACUAGCAUGGUUGUCCGACUUCUGCUUUGGAAUAUGACCUCCACGGAGUGGUCUCGCUGCUGUCUAGCACAGUGACUGACAGCCUGGAAGUCUCCAGUCAUGUUUGUGGAAUCAUGAAUGUGCCCUGCCUGUUUAACUGGGCCUCUUCCGGACCCAGGGAUCAAAUACGAGUUUCUUGCGUCUCCUGCAUUGGCAGGUGGAUUCUUCACCACUGUGACGCCUGAGAAGCCCCUCUGGGGAGAAUGAAUACACAAUUUGCUGUUUAUUAUUUAUAGCCCUGUUGUGAGGACAUCAGUAUUGACUGUCUGACAGCUGGGAUUACGGACAAAUCUUUCUUCAGUGCCACCUGUAUUCUGGAAUUGGUAGUUUAGGGUCAGGAUAUGCAUGAUGUAAGCAUUCUAUUAUAAAAUGUGUUGUACUUGACAGAUACAGAAC
ensembl:lncRNA